rnacentral:rRNA from 1 species
AUUGAACGCUGGCGGCAGGCUUAACACAUGCAAGUCGAGCGGAGAUGAGGUGCUUGCACCUUAUCUUAGCGGCGGACGGGUGAGUAAUGCUUAGGAAUCUGCCUAUUAGUGGGGGACAACAUUCCGAAAGGAAUGCUAAUACCGCAUACGUCCUACGGGAGAAAGCAGGGGAUCUUCGGACCUUACGCUAAUAGAUGAGCCUAAGUCGGAUUAGCUAGUUGGUGGGGUAAAGGCCUACCAAGGCGACGAUCUGUAGCGGGUCUGAGAGGAUGAUCCGCCACACUGGGACUGAGACACGGCCCAGACUCCUACGGGAGGCAGCAGUGGGGAAUAUUGGACAACGGGGGGAACCCUGAUCCAGCCAUGCCGCGUGUGUGAAGAAGGCCUUAUGGUUGUAAAGCACUUUAAGCGAGGAGGAGGCUACUGAGACUAAUACUCUUGGAUAGUGGACGUUACUCGCAGAAUAAGCACCGGCUAACUCUGUGCCAGCCGCCGCCGUAAUAC